rnacentral:rRNA from 1 species
UACGAAGGGGGCUAGCGUUGCUCGGAUUUACUGGGCGUAAAGGGCGCGUAGGCGGACAGUUAAGUUGGGGGUGAAAGCCCGGGGCUCAACCCCGGAAUUGCCUUCAAUACUGGCUGUCUUGAGUACGGGAGAGGUGUGUGGAACUCCGAGUGUAGAGGUGAAAUUCGUAGAUAUUCGGAAGAACACCAGUGGCGAAGGCGACACACUGGCCCGUUACUGACGCUGAGGCGCGAAAGCGUGGGGAGCAAACAGG